UCACUUUAACAGUAAAUAUACUAAAAUUGGAAUGAUACAGAGUAGAUUAGUGCAGCCCCUUUGCAAGCAUGACAACAAAAUCAUGUAGCAUUCCAUAUAUUU